rnacentral:rRNA from 1 species
AGGGCGGCGUACGGCUCAGUAACAUGUGGUCAAUCUACCCUCAGGACGGAGAUAACCUCGGGAAACUGAGGCUAAUAUCCGAUAGAUAAUGGAUCCUGGAAUGGUUCAUUAUUCAAACGGCACAUUGCUCAUGCGCAGUGUGUCGCCUGAGGAUGAGACUGCACCCUAUCAGGUAGUUGGUGGGGUAAUGGCCCACCAAGCCUAUAACGGGUACGGGCCCUGAGAGGGGGAGCCCGGAGAUGGGCACUGAGACAAGGGCCCAGGCCCUACGGGGCGCAGCAGGCGCGAAACCUCUGCAAUGCGCGAAAGCGCGACAGGGCCACCCCGAGUGCUAGCCGCUGAGGUUAGCUUUUCCUUAGUGUAGUAAGCUAAGGGAAUAAGCGGGGGGCAAGCCUGGUGUCAGCCGCCGCGGUAAUACCAGCUCCGCGAGUGGUCGGGACGAUUAUUGGGCCUAAAGCGUCCGUAGCCGGCCUAUCAAGUCUCUGGUUAAACCUCAAGGCUCAACCUUGAGAUCGCUGGAGAUACUGUUAGGCUAGGGGGCGGGAGAGGUUGAGGGUACUUCGCGGGUAGGGGCGAAAUCCUAUAAUCCGCGAAGGACCA